ACCGGCGAACGGGUGAGUAACGCGUACACUACCUACCUUAUACAAGGGGACACACACCGGAAACGGAGUAAAUACCCUAUGUUAUCGAGAGAUAAAAGCUUUGGCGGUACAAGAUGGGUGUGCGUUAGAUUAGCUAGUUGGUACGGUAACGGCGUACCAAGGCGACGAUCUAUAGGGGGCGUGAGAGCGUGAACCCCCACACGGGUACUGAGACACGGACCCGACUCCUACGGGAGGCAGCAGUAAGGAAUAUUGGACAAUGGAGGGAACUCUGAUCCAGCCAUCCCGCGUGUAGGAAGACAGCCCUAUGGGUUUUAAACUACUUUUGCAAGGGAAGAAAAGUCGGCAUUAAUGCUGAUCUGACGGUACCUUGAGAAUAAGCACCGGCUAACUCCGUGCCAGCAGCCGCGGUAAUACGGAGGGUGCGAGCGUUAAUCGGAAUUACUGGGCGUAAAGCGCGCGUAGGCGGAUAAUUAAGUCAGAUGUGAAAGCCCCGGGCUUAACCUGGGAACUGCAUUUGAUACUGGUUAUCUUGAGUAUGGUAGAGGUAAGCGGAAUUUCCAGUGUAGCAGUGAAAUGCGUAGAGAUUGGAAGGAAUAUCGAUGGCGAAGGCAGCUUACUGGGCCAAUACUGACGCUGAGGUGCGAAAGCGUGGGUAGCGAACGGGAUUAGAUACCCCGGUAGUCCACGCCGUAAACGAUGCCAACUAGGUGUAGGGGUCUUGAACUUCUGUGCCGCAGCUAACGCAUUAAGUUGGCCGCCUGGGGUGUACGCACGCAAGUGUAAAACUCAAAGGAAUUGACGGGGACCCGCACAAGCGGUGGAGCAUGUGGUUUAAUUCGAUGCAACGCGAAGAACCUUACCAAGCCUUGACAUCUAGCGAAGUUUCCAGAGAUGGAUUCGUGCCUUCGGGAACGCUAAGACAGGUGUUGCAUGGCUGUCGUCAGCUCGUGUCGUGAGAUGUUGGGUUAAGUCCCGCAACGAGCGCAACCCUUAUCCUUAUUUGCCAGCACGUUAUGGUGGGAACUCUAGGGAGACUGCCGGUGACAAACCGGAGGAAGGUGGGGACGACGUCAAGUCAUCAUGGCCCUUACGGCUUGGGCUACACACGUGCUACAAUGGACAUUACAGACGGUUGCCAACUCGCGAGGGGGAGCUAAUCUGAGAAAGGUGUUCGUAGUCCGGAUUGCAGCCUGCAACUCGACUGCAUGAAGUCGGAAUCGCUAGUAAUCGCAAAUCAGAAUGUUGCGGUGAAUACGUUCCCGGGUCUUGUACACACUGCCCGUCACACCAUGGGAGUUGGUUGCAAAAGAAGUAGGUAGUCUAACUUUUAGAGGACGCUUACCACUUUGUGGUCAAUGACUGGGGUGAAGUCGUAACAAGGUAACC
rnacentral:rRNA from 1 species